UGAGGAAAGCACAUAGAGCAACCCGCCUGCAUGCACCGGUGCACACGGCUGAGCUUACAGAUCCUGCUAACCCUCUGCAUGGUUCCUGUCUUCAGUAAUGGUAAGAGGACUCCAUCCGAUGGAUCACUGUGCUGCUGGUCCUCCAGCCACACUGCGAAGGAGGAGCCUGGACUCUGGUGACCGUGGAAAAUGAGAUGUAUUUGCAGAGACCCAGAGCCUUUCGUGUCUGCCUGCCUGGAUGUUUAUAACCAUGGAUAUCACGGGGCUGGAAGCCAGGGGCCAUUUCCUCUGGUCCCCAGCUCUGUCACUAUUGCAGUGGCAACCAGUACUGCCCAAAUAUUUACCCACAUGUCUCUAGGCAGGGCCUGGGGGGCUUCUGUCUCAGCUGUCAUCAGAAGGACAAGCCCCUCAGGAGGUCACAGCCUUUCCUGGGUAUCAUUUUAGAUUUGUUUAUCUCCUCCCGCCUACCUGGAAUCUGUCAUUAAAUAGCACUUAAAUCCCUUUGCAAUCAAUUCUGAGGACCUGGAGAAUCCCUUUGUUGACCCAGGAUUCUUUUGUUUUUGAAUAUAGCUUGAAAUAAAUGGGCCAUUGUCUGGGCUCAGAAUAU